CACUCCUGCGGGAGGCAGCAGUGGGGAAUAUUGGACAAUGGGCGCAAGCCUGAUCCAGCCAUGCCGCGUGAGUGAUGAAGGCCCUAGGGUUGUAAAGCUCUUUCACCGGUGAAGAUAAUGACGGUAACCGGAGAAGAAGCCCCGGCUAACUUCGUGCCAGCAGCCGCGGUAAUACGAAGGGGGCUAGCGUUGUUCGGAUUUACUGGGCGUAAAGCGCACGUAGGCGGACUAUUAAGUCAGGGGUGAAAUCCCGGGGCUCAACCCCGGAACUGCCUUUGAUACUGGUAGUCUUGAGUUCGAGAGAGGUGAGUGGAAUUCCGAGUGUAGAGGUGAAAUUCGUAGAUAUUCGGAGGAACACCAGUGGCGAAGGCGGCUCACUGGCUCGAUACUGACGCUGAGGUGCGAAAGCGUGGGGAGCAAACAGGAUUAGAUACCCGAGUAGUCCC
rnacentral:rRNA from 1 species